rnacentral:rRNA from 1 species
UACGGAGGAUGCGAGCGUUAUCCGGAUUUAUUGGGUUUAAAGGGUGCGUAGGCGGGAGAUCAAGUCAGCGGUAAAAAUGCGGGGCCCAACCCGGGCCGGCCGUUGAAACUGGGGAUCUUGAGUGGGCGAGAAGUAUGCGGAAUGCGUGGUGUAGCGGUGAAAUGCAUAGAUAUCACGCAGAACUCCGAUUGCGAAGGCAGCAUACCGGCGCCCGACUGACGCUGAGGCACGAAAGCGUGGGGAUCGAACAGG